CCAUCGUGCAAAAGGGCUGCACCACGAUGUGAAUGUUGCACCAAUAUAGUGCUUCAAUGGAAACAUUAAGCA
rnacentral:misc_RNA from 1 species